rnacentral:rRNA from 1 species
UACGGAGGGUGCGAGCGUUGUCCGGAAUCACUGGGCGUAAAGGGCGCGUAGGCGGCGCGGGCAGUCAACGGUGAAAGCUCGGGGCUCAACUCCGAGUCGGCCGUCGAUACUCCCGCGCUCGAGCACUGUAGAGGCAGGUGGAAUUCCGGGUGUAGCGGUGGAAUGCGUAGAGAUCCGGAAGAACACCGGUGGCGAGGGCGGCCUGCUGGGCAGUAGCUGACGCUGAGGAGCGAAAGCGUGGGGAGCGAACAGG